GAUGAACGCUAGCGGCAGGCUUAAUACAUGCAAGUCGAGGGGCAGCAGGACUGUAGCAAUACAGUUGCUGGCGACCGGCAAACGGGUGCGGAACACGUACGCAACCUACCCAAAACUGGGGGAUAGCCCGGGGAAACCCGGAUUAAUACCUCGUAACCUUUUUAAGUGGCAUCACUUGAUAAGUAUAGCUCCGGCGGUUUUGGAUGGGCGUGCGCCUGAUUAGGUAGUUGGUGCGGGUAACGGCCCACCAAGCCUGCGAUCAGUAACUGGUGUGAGAGCACGACCAGUCACACGGGCACUGAGACACGGGCCCGACUCCUACGGGAGGCAGCAGUAAGGAAUAUUGGUCAAUGGACGCAAGUCUGAACCAGCCAUGCCGCGUGAAGGAUGAAGGUCCUCUGGAUUGUAAACCUCUUUUAUGGGGGACGAAACCCGGAUAUUCUUAUCCGAUUGACGGUACCUCAGGAAUAAGCACCGGCUAACUCCGCG
rnacentral:rRNA from 1 species